GUCAAAUCUUCUCAGGUCUUAAAUAUAGGAACAACCCUGGUAUAAGUUGUUCUGAAUGCCCUCAUUUCUGGCCAAAUCCAGGAGUUUUUGCCUUUGACUUAUUUGUGUUUCCUUGAGACACAGCUAGGCAAGACUCUGUGCCUAGUAUUGGGACAGGCCAAAGCAGAUGGAGGGAAAGCCAAGAUCUGUAACUAGACUCGUGUUUUGGUGUGGAAUGGAGCCAGCAGGUACUGGAAGUUAAGCAGCAGAGAACAAUAAACUGCCAGCCACCGUUUAUUGAGUACUUCCUGUAUGCUGGGCAUGCCAAGUGCUUUACAUAGUUAUCAAGAUAAACAAAACUAACUCCCUUUUUCCACCAAGAGUGCGAACUUCGAAUGAUGAUAAAAUGAGUACAUCAUUGUUUCACAUGGAUCUGGGAAACCACCGAUUCCAGAUUUCCGUUUUCAGCCCUUCUGACUAUGCCUAACAGCAGAGGUCUUCCUACCGUCAAUUACACACUGACUCACAACCCUACUGCAGACUGCAUUGAGGUGCUCCAAAGGGUGUGGCCCAGGAUCCCCAGGAUCCCCUGGAUGGGCAGCAAGACCUUACCCUAUACUGUGAGCACUGGGGCAAGAGGAGAGGAAAGCUGAAUGACAACUGGCACAUUCAGAAGUGCCACUCCAAACCCCAGAAGGGCCCUGGCAGAAAUUUCAGGCCACAGAGACCUCUGCACAACCCCCAUAAUGCUAAUAAAUACAACUUAAAAAAUAAAACAACAAAAUAAAAAAUAACCAAUCCACCAGGGCAGCUUCCAUGAUGAAAUGUGGACAACUUAAAAUACGUAACAUUAAACAUAAGGAGCCACUCUGACAGGUGUGAGGUGAUAUCUCACUGUGGUUCUGAUUUGUAUUUCAAUUAUGAUCAGUGAUAUUGAGGACCUUUUCCUGAACCU